GAACCAAAUUUGUGUUGCUUUGAAUUCUGUUUCGGGAUUUUUAAAGCUCAAUUAUGAGUUCUCUUUAUUUGAUGAAUUCACUCACUUUAAUUUCUAGUUGCAGGACAAAUCUUUGGAUUCUCCCAUGAAAGCCGUAGUGAAGAUCUAGACUUACCUCUGUUCGACCUCACAACCAUAGUGAGCGCAACGAAUAACUUCUCUGACGACAACAAACUUGGAGAGGGAGGCUUUGGAGCUGUCUAUAAGGUUACUAUUCUCAUUUUUCGGAAUUCUAAAUCUGCUCAUACAUAUACAAAUGCACAAUGGAAAAAAGGAACAAAAAAUUUCUAUCUUUUAGGGUGUUCUGAAGAGUGGCCAAGAAAUUGCUGUGAAGAGGCUGUCGGAAAACUCAGGGCAGGAAUAGGCCGAGUUCAAGAAUGAAGUCGUCUACAUCGUCAAACUUCAACACCGAAACCUCGUCAAGAUUCUUGGAUGCUGCAUUCAAGUAGAUGAAAAGAUGUUGAUCUAUGAAUUCUUGCCGAACCGGAGCUUGGAUUGUUUCAUUUUCGACCAAGAGAAGGGUGUUUCACUGGAUUGGCCUAAGCGCUUCACUAUCAUCAACGGCAUAGCUUCGGGGCUCCUAUACCUUCACCGAGACUCAAGAUUAAGAAUAAUUCAUUGAGACCUGAAAGCUGAAAACAUCCUGCUUGACAACGAAAUGAAUCCAAAGAUAUCGGACUUUGGUUUGGCGAGGAGUUUCGGAGGUAAUGAGAGCGAAGCGAAUACGAAGAGAGUGGUGGGAACAUACGGUUACUUGUCACCAGAGUAUGCGGUCACGGAUUAUAUUCGAUAAAAUCAGAUGUAUUCAGUUUUGGCGUUUUAGUGCUGGAAAUCGUGAGCGGGAAAAGAAAUCGAGGCUUCACUCAUCCUGACGGCCAUUUGAGCCUUCUUGGAUAUGCCCGGACACUGUUCAGAGAUCGAAAGUCCAUGGAGUUGGUUGAUCCAUCGAUCACAUCCACAUUCAAUCCCAUGGAAGUUUUGCGAUCGAUCCAUGUGUCGUUGCUGCGCGUUCAACAAAAUUCGAGAGAAAGACCGGAGAUGUCAUCUGUGGUUAUGAUGUUGGGCAGUGAGAGCACAUUGCCUCAUCCUAAACAGCCCAGUGUUUUUCAGCGAGGAGUCCGUAUCUGAAGCAAGUUCUUCAAGCGGU